UACGGAGGGUGCAAGCGUUAUCCGGAUUCACUGGGUUUAAAGGGUGCGUAGGCGGCUUGCCAAGUCAGUGGUGAAAGCCCCGCGGCUUAACCGUGGAAUUGCCAUUGAAACUGGCUGGCUCGAGUGUGAUUGAAGUGGAUGGAAUACAUCAUGUAGCGGUGAAAUGCUUAGAGAUGAUGUAGAACACCAAUUGCGAAGGCAGUUCACUAAGUCACAACUGACGCUGAGGCACGAAAGCGUGGGGAUCAAACAGG
rnacentral:rRNA from 1 species